rnacentral:rRNA from 1 species
GAUGAACGCUGGCGGCGUGCCUAAUACAUGCAAGUCGAGCGGACCAAAGAGAGCUUGCUCUCUGAGGUUAGCGGCGGACGGGUGAGUAACACGUGGGUAACCUGCCUGUAAGACGGGGAUAACUUCGGGAAACCGAAGCUAAUACCGGAUGAUAAAGAGAAACGCCUGUUUCUUUUUUGAAAGUCGGCCUUGUGCUGACGCUUACAGAUGGGCCCGCGGCGCAUUAGCUAGUUGGUGAGGUAACGGCUCACCAAGGCGACGAUGCGUAGCCGACCUGAGAGGGUGGUCGGCCACACUGGGACUGAGACACGGCCCAGACUCCUACGGGAGGCAGCAGUAGGGAAUCUUCGGCAAUGGACGAAAGUCUGACCGAGCAACGCCGCGUGAGCGAUGAAGGCCUUCGGGUCGUAAAGCUCUGUUGUCAGAGAAGAACAAGUACCGGAGUAACUGCCGGUACCUUGACGGUACCUGACCAGAAAGCCACGGUUAACUACGUGCCAGCAGCCGCAGUAA